CUACUACAACUUCAUGCAUUUUCUUAAAUGCUUUCGCAAACAUUACCAAUCAACUUAAAUGAAAAACUACUGCUUCGAAGGAUAAUUGAAACCGGCUCCAAGACUAUGCAGCAGUAGUAGUAGUAGUAGUAGUAGUAGUAGUAGUAGUAGUAGUAGUAGUAGUAGUAGUUUGAAGAGAGAGAAAGCGACUUAAGACUUAACGCACUUUUUUUUUUAUUGCAUCUCGUGGGCCCAAAGUUUACCUGUGCCUCCGCUCCUUUCCGCUUCUGUCAUCCCACUCAAGAAAGGGGUGGAGGUUCGCAGGCGCUAACACCCACCAUGUUUGUAUCCCUUACAUGCCGUGGUCCCGACGAGGGGCCCUUUGUUUGAUAACUCGAACUGCUGAAAACAACAACCAAACCGUAACUCACAUCACAUUCCCGCGUUUUGGUCUUGACAAUAAUAAUAAAAAUAAUAAUAAUAAUAAUAAUAAACAGCGAAAUGUGGAAGGUUGAUACAUUAAAUAAUUGUAAUCCCAGAUACACUUGUUCAAGAUACAAGAUAUUUAAUUAAGAACGCAGAAUGAUUGUGGCUGGAAUAUGGUCUGCUGGAUCAGGAAUGACUCGGGGUUAAACAGCAGCAACGGAACAACACAAAUAUAGAGAAGAAAGGAGAGAUGCGAGAUAAACAUUAGGCCAUCCCACGUGCCACCCGUAAUACAUUAGUUUGUUAUCGACUCGAGCACCUGCCUGACACCCUCUACACACUGCUGUCCCAUCCACUCGGGUAGCUUGUUAUCAGCACCCCGGUUAUCUGACAAAUGCAAAGUAAUCGAACGCGAUAUCACGUUGUCUGAAAGAAAGUGUGUAUAUUUAGAACUUGCAACGAUCUUCGCUCACGCUAACCCGUUGUGUGAAACGGGUAUAUAUACUGACUAUACAACAUACAUACACUCACACACACAUAUAUACAUAUGUCUAUACUUGUAUAUUUAUAUAUUUAUUGUGCAUGUGUGUUUAUGUGUUAAGAGCGCCCUGCAUGGUCAGUGCAACCCCAGUUGUUGCAGCAAGGAAUUUAAAUCAAGGAAUUUUAACGAAGAACAUUGGAAAUUACGCAAAGCUUAAUUCUGAAAGACUUUGAUGUGUACAAGUACAGUCCCCACGCGUGGCCCCACUGCAUUUUACGGUAGGAACACAGACCUUCUGUGACGCGUACCUCGUUGAGUACAGACAGGAGUACUAGCAAAGCCACUUUGCAUCAGUUUCGCUGUUGAUCAGAAGGAGUACAGACCCCCCUCCGUCACUAAUACCUCCUCCAUCACAACAACAACCUGCUGGCUUGUGUACCCUGUUGUCACAGGAAAUUCAUCCAUCCAUCAAUCAAUCUAUCUAUCUAUCUAUCUAUCUAUCUAUCUAUCUAUCUAUCUAUCUAUCUAUCUAUCUAUCUGCAUCUGUAACUAUAUCUGUCUAUCUCUACCUACCGAGCAAUCUAAUAUCUACAUGUCUAUAUAUUUAUUUUACUCUCUCUAGUUAUAUCUAAUAUAUUUGUCUGUCUGUGUGUCCUUCUAUCUAUCUAUCUAUCUAUCUAUCUAUCUAUCUAUCUAUCUAUCUAUCUAUCUAUCUAUCUAUCUAUCUAUCUAUCUAUCUAUCUAUCUAUCUAUCUAUCUAUCUAUCUACCUAUCCAUAUUUAUAUCUACCUAGCUAUUUAUUUAUAUAUCUGUCUGUCUGUCUGUCUAGUUUUUUUUAUCUACCUACACUAACACAAACACACAUCAACAAGCAGGGAACAUUACAUAGAAAUAAAAAUAAAAUAACAAAAAAAAAACAACAAAAAAAUAAUCAAGCAGUUUGCUGUACUCCUGUAUAAUUCUUCAUGAAGGCUCCUGCCCUCUGGCCGAUCAAGCAACAACAACAACAACAACAAUAGCAUCAAAACUGAUCAACUCAACACGUCAUAUACCAGCGUUGUCUGAAGUUAUAAAGAGGCAGCACUCGACACCUCCCCCGGUUCGCACCACAUAUCCAGCACCUUCAAGCUAGAAACGGGUGUAAACGCUAAGUGUACAAUCGUCUGGAUAUUCCCGCGCUUGCGUCGCUUCUCUCUACGACCAGUGAUUCCAUUCGAAGAAAUGGUAAGUUGCUUUCGAUUUCUUUCGUUGUUUUUCUCUUCUUCCUUGUAUUUUUCGCAUUUUGUUGACGUUGAUAUACGCACAAACACAAACAAACAAACACACACCAGCACACAACACACGCGCAGUUUUAUACAUAUGCAUGCUCACAUACGUACAUACAUACAUACAUAAAUACAUACAUGCAUACAUACAUACAUACAUGCAUGUAUAACUAUAUAUAUGUAUGUAUAUGUAUUUAUGUGUAUAUAUAUAUAUAUGUAUUUAUGUAUGUAUAUAUAUAUAUAUAUAUAUAUAUAUAUAUAUAUAUAUAUAUAUAUAUAUAUAUAUAUAUUCUCUUUAACUCUUUUACUUGUUUCAGUCAUUUGAACGUGGCCAUGCUGGUGCACCGCC
rnacentral:lncRNA from 1 species